rnacentral:rRNA from 1 species
GAUGAACGCUGGCGGCGUGCCUAAUACAUGCAAGUCGAGCGAACGGACGAGAAGCUUGCUUCUCUGAUGUUAGCGGCGGACGGGUGAGUAACACGUGGAUAACCUACCUAUAAGACUGGGAUAACUUCGGGAAACCGGAGCUAAUACCGGAUAAUAUUUUGAACCGCAUGGUUCAAAAGUGAAAGACGGUCUUGCUGUCACUUAUAGAUGGAUCCGCGCUGCAUUAGCUAGUUGGUAAGGUAACGGCUUACCAAGGCAACGAUGCAUAGCCGACCUGAGAGGGUGAUCCGCCACACUGGAACAUAAACACGGUCCACACUCCUACGGGAGGCAGCAGUGAGGAAUAUUGCACAAUGGGCGCAAACCUUAUCCAACCAACCCGCGUGAGUUAAGAAGGUCUUCCGGUUGUAAAACCCUUUUUUUUGGAAAAAAAAAAAUUUUAUUAAAACCCUGCUAUUCUGACGGUACCCAAACAAAAAGCACCGGCUAACUUCGUG